rfam:Rhizoctonia solani 123E scf_490, whole genome shotgun sequence.
GCCGCGUUGGCUCAAUGGUAGAGCGUCGCCCUCCUACGGUGUGGGCCGCAUGACAGGCGAAGGCUGUGGGUUCGAAUCCCAUGCGUGGUA